rnacentral:rRNA from 1 species
GAUGAACGCUGGCGGCGUGCCUAAUACAUACAAGUCGAACGAAACUUCUUUAUCACCGAGUGCUUGCACUCACCGAUAAAGAGUUGAGUGGCGAACGGGUGAGUAACCCGUGGGCAACCUGCCCAAAAGAGGGGAAUAAAACUUGGAACCAGUUGCGACUCCAGCAUAACCAUAGUUACCGCAUGGUACCUUUGUAAAAGAUGGGUCAACUACCGCUUUUGGAGGGGCCGGGGGCGCGUUAGCUAGUUGGUAGGGUAAAGGCUUACCAAGGCAAUGAUGCGUAGCCGAAUUGAGAGGUUGAUCGGCCACAUUGGGACUGAGACACGGCCCAAACUCCUACGGGAGGCAGCAGUAGGGAAUCUUCCACAAUGGGCGAAAGCCUGAUGGAGCAACGCCGCGUGGGUGAAGAAGGUCUUCGGAUCGUAAAACCCUGUUGUUAGAGAAGAAAGUACGUGAGAGUAACUGUUCACGUUUCGACGGUACCUAACCGGAAAGCCACGGCUAACUACGUG